rnacentral:rRNA from 1 species
UGGGGAAUAUUGGACAAUGGGGGGAACCCUGAUCCAGCCAUGCCGCGUGUGUGAAGAAGGCCUUAUGGUUGUAAAGCACUUUAAGCGAGGAGGAGGGUACUGGUAUUAAUACUACCAGGUACUGGACGUUACUCGCAGAAUAAGCACCGGCUAACUCUGUGCCAGCAGCCGCGGUAAUACAGAGGGUGCGAGCGUUAAUCGGAUUUACUGGGCGUAAAGCGUGCGUAGGCGGCUAAUUGAGUCGGAUGUGAAAUCCCCGAGCUUAACUUGGGAAUUGCAUUCGAUACUGGUUAGCUAGAGUGUGGGAGAGGAUGGUAGAAUUCCAGGUGUAGCGGUGAAAUGCCUAGAGAUCUGGAGGAAUACCGAUGGCGAAGGCAGCCAUCUGGCCUAACACUGACGCUGAGGUACGAAAGCAUGGGGAGCAAACAGG